GAUCCAGUUUCAUACUAUAACAUGGAGAAUCAUUAUGAUGGAUCCAGGUUCAUACUAUAACAUGGAGAAUCAUUAUGAUGGAUCCAGGUUCAUACUAUAACAUGUAGAAUCUUUAUGAUGGAUCCAGUUUCAUACUAUAACAUUUAGAAUCAUUAUGAUGGAUCCAGGUUCAUACUAUAACAUGGAGAAUCAUUAUGAUGGAUCCAGGUUCAUACUAUAACAUGUAGAAUCAUUAUGAUGGAUCCAGGUUCAUACUAUAACAUGUAGAAUCAUUAUGAUGGAUCCAGUUUCAUACUAUAACAUGUAGAAUCAUUAUGAUGGAUCCAG
rnacentral:lncRNA from 1 species